rnacentral:sRNA from 1 species
CCCAGCGAUGAUAGGGCACGCACUCGCCCUGGCUUUCGCAUUUCGUCACCGGCGUCUUCCAGAACUUGACCUUCUCGAAGUCGUCGUAGCCGU